CCUACGGGUGGCAGCAGUGAGGAAUAUUGGUCAAUGGCCGGAAGGCUGAACCAGCCAUGCCGCGUGAAGGUCAGUGCCCUAUGGGCGUUAAACUUCUUUUGUGCGGGAGCAAUAAUGGUCACGUGUGGCCAGACGAGAGUACCGUACGAAUAAGCAUCGGCUAACUCCGUGCCAGCAGCCGCGGUAAUACGGGGGAUGCAAGCGUUAUCCGGAUUUAUUGGGGUUAAAGGGUGCGUAGGCUGUGAGGUAAGUCAGCGGUGAAAUGCCCCCGCUCAACGGGGUGAAGUGCCAUUGAUACUGGCUGACGGGAAUGCGAAUGCGGUGGGAGGAAUGUGUGGUGUAGCGGUGAAAUGCAUAGAUAUCACACAGAACACCGAUUGCGAAGGCAUCUCACGAAUCCGCGAUUGACGCUGAUGCACGAAAGCGUGGGUAUCAAACAGGAUUAGAUACCCUUGUAGUC
rnacentral:rRNA from 1 species